rnacentral:rRNA from 1 species
AUGAACGCUGGCGGCGUGCCUAAUACAUGCAAGUCGAACGAAACUUCUUUAUCACCGAGUGCUUGCACUCACCGAUAAAGAGUUGAGUGGCGAACGGGUGAGUAACACGUGGGCAACCUGCCCAAAAGAGGGGGAUAACACUUGAAAAAAGGUGCUAAAACCCCAUAACCAUAGUUACCCCAGGGUAACUUGUUAAAGGUGGCCUAUAUACCGCCUUUUGAAUGGCCCGGGGCGCAUUUGCUAGUUGGUAGGGUAAAGGCUUUACAAGGCAAUGAUGCGUAGCCGAAUUGAGAGGUUGAUCGGCCACAUUGGGACUGAGACACGGCCCAAACUCCUACGGGAGGCAGCAGUAGGGAAUCUUCCACAAUGGGCGAAAGCCUGAUGGAGCAACGCCGCGUGGGUGAAGAAGGUCUUCGGAUCGUAAAACCCUGUUGUUAGAGAAGAAAGUGCGUGAGAGUAACUGUUCACGUUUCGACGGUAUCUAACCAGAAAGCCACUGCUAACUACGUG